GACGAACCGUGCGAACGUUGUUCGGAAUCACUGGGCUUAAAGGGAGCGUAGGCGGGCUAUCAAGUCUGGGGUGAAAUCCCGCGGCUCAACCGCGGAACUGCCUCAGAUACUGACGCCUCGGAGGGAGAUAGGGGCAUGCGGAACUGUAGGUGGAGCGGUGAAAUGCGUUGAUAUCUACAGGAACUCCGGUGGCGAAAGCGGCGUGCUGGAUCUCUUCUGACGCUGAGGCUCGAAAGCUAGGGGAGCAAACGGG
rnacentral:rRNA from 1 species